UCCUCCUCGCCCUGGUGCUGCUCCAGGUCACAUACUCUUCCCGAGCCGGCUUCAGCCUCUCCGCGCAGAAGUCUCCCGGAGUCAUGGCCUAGUACUCUUAUGUGAAGUCUACCAAGCUUGUGCUCAGGGGAACCGAGGUGAAGAGCUGGGUCCUGCAGCUCCGGCGGGAGCCUCCUCAGUUCUUUUCGGAUGCACUCCACCCCCGCGAAUCCGGUGGAAGCCGUGAUGCGGAGAGCCGGCUUCGUGGCCUCCCAGGCUUCUUUUGCUCUGACCCUGUCUGGGCUGGACGGAGGCCGGACCGCGGUUCCUGGCGCCUGUGCAGAGAGGGGCAGCCUCCUGCGCGGACGACCCUGGAAACAGGAUAGACGGGCGGGUGACCCGUGGCCCCGUACUCACGAGUUUGGGUCCCCUGAGGCAUCUCUCCAGGCCUCUGCCUGGUGGGUCUGCCUUAGUCUGAUCUUGUAGUUCAUUAUAAUAACUUCCUUUAUUAGGGAUUAUUCUUUUCUCCAUUGUCUCUUCCUGGAAAAAUUAUUGAUUAAUUUUUUUCUAAGCUAAUAUGUAGAGUGAAACCAGGAUGAAUCACACAGUGGUUGAGGUGUAUAUGGACUUUGAUAGGGAUAUGGGCUGGAACCUGCACUCUGUCAUUUACUAAUUUUGUAAUUUGUGGCAAAUUGGUUAAUAUGUCUGAACUUCCAUUUACUCAUUAAGAGAUCAAGUAUCUUUGAACCUCCGUUUACACAUUUAUACUUUCAGACCAUUUUUUAUACCUUUAGAAGACUGUGAGGAUUAAAUGAGAGAACAUACAUGCAGUAAAUAAAUUGAGCCAAAUGUGAGGAGGAGGUUGUAGUGGUAAUUUAUUAGCUCUUUAGGAGAAAAAUACCUGUGCAUUCAUAUCCCCGCUUCUUUUUUAACUGGCAGAUUUGCCUGAGGUUAACUGUACAUACAAAUAUUGAGCAUUUCCUCCUGGCCUCCGUGAUAAACAGAAGUUUUGAUAUUGUUAGGCGAGAUGGAAAGAAAGUAUCAAGGAGUGAGCUGAAGCCACUGCCCUUGAGAACCCUCUCGAGGAGUCUGGCCUCAUGAAGAUGCCAGAAUAAAUGGCAGUAAGAAGAAAGAGAGCAAAGAUAAGAAGAGAAAAAGAGAAGAAGAUGAAGAAACCCAGCUUGAUAUGUUGGAACGCAGCUCCUCACCAGCAAUGAAACAAAGCUGGACGGAGAAUGACUUUGACGAGCUGAGAGAAGAAGGCUUCAGAUGAUCAAAUUACUCUGAGCUACGGGAGGACAUUCAAACCAAAGGCAAAGAAGUUGAAAACUUUGAAAAAAAUAUAUGUACAUUUCUUAACGUGGAAUCUGGUGAACAGUAACAAACUUUGGUGAAAUUUCAGGAACCAUAGCCAUUGAAAUGGAUGAGGGAACCUAUAUACAUGCACUCGACAAUGGUCUUUUUACCCUGGGAGCUCCACACAAAGAAGUUGAUGAGGGCCCUAGUCCUCCAGAGCAGUUUAUGGCUGUCAAAUUAUCUGAUUCCAGAUUAGAUCCUGUGCUGAAAGAGAAACCAAGAAAAAAGAUGACAUUCCAGAAGAAGACAAAGGAAAUGUAAAACAAUGUGAAAUCAAUUAUGUACGGAGUCUCGCUCUGUCCCCCAGACUGGAGUGCAGUGCCAUGAUCUCAGCUCAUCGCAACCUCCACCUCCCAGGUUCAUGUGAUUCUCCUGCCUCAGCCUCCCGAGUAGCUGGGACUACAGGCACACGCCACUACGCUCGGCUAAUUUUUGUAUCUUUAGUAGAGACGGGGUUUCACCAUGUUGGCCAGGCUGUUCUCGAACUCCUGACCUCGAGUGAUCUGCCUGCCUUGGCCUCCCAAAGUGCUGGGAUUGCAGGCAUGAGCCACUGUGCCUGGCCUACAAUUAGACUUUUUUAAUAAGUGAAAAAGAAAUUAACAGUAUUUAUAAAUUUAAUAGUAAAUAUGUAUAAUCAGAGUUUGAGGUUUUUUCAAUGAAGGCAUUUUCUUUGCAUAAAGAAAUUUCAGAGCUUCCAAGACCACAAACUUAAAAUAAGUAAAGAAGCAGUAAAAUUCUUAAAAAGACACAGAAAGAUGGAUUUUUGCAUGAGACGCUUCUGGACAGGUAGCUAUUUAUUUACUUAUUUCCACUAUUUUCAGUAGCCAAUAGAAAUGGCAUAUAGAAAACCUACAUUCUCUUAAAUUACUGUAGUUUUCACAUUUUUGUCUUUAUUUCUAAUUUAUGAGUGUGGCAAUAUUACCUAGAGAGGACAUCAUGAGUUUGGGAAAAGACUUUCAAGAAAGAAUAUCUAAAAAUUAUAACCGAUUCUAAGCAUAUACUUUAAGAAAUUCAGGUUUGACUGUAUCUACUUCAUAAAUUUAUCAUUAUCUUUUUAUAACUAUUAGAACCAGAGUUAGAAAGAAGCAGUUUGACUAAUAUAAAAAUUAUGUGGAUUCUGUUAGAGUAGUUCAGGUUCCUUAAAAUAAGCAUAGAUCAACUAAAAAACUAAGUAUAAAAGCUAAACAAGUGAAAUUGAAGCAGUUUUAUUGUAAGAUUUGGAAGAGUGCAGGAUGUUUAUCAUAGCACAUUAUUAAUAUUUAUUACUAUUCCUAUGUAGAUAAGUGAUGUCCUAGAUUUACAACAUAGAAAAACAGGUAGAGACGUUUAGCUGUGAGUGUACAAGUAUAAAUCAAUUAAGUGCCAGAUUUUGAUAAUCACCAGCAGCUCAUUCAAGUCCUAUGUUGGAAAGUUACUCUUACCCUUUUUUUACAUUACUUGAUAAAGGCAAUGUUUAAUUACAUAUUUCCUGUUAACUAGCUGGUAGAGUUCAUACCUAAAGUCAGUAAAUAACAUUAAGAACUUUUUCCAGCUGAGCAAAUGAGUAUGUAUCUAGUUGUAAGAAAUCAAGAAGAGGAUAUAAAAUAUAAUCAGGAUGUGGAGUCUAAAAUGGAAUAAGCUCUAUGUCCUGUAACUUUUUUCACUUGUAAUAAUACUGCAUUCUCACCCUGUUAAAUGGAAAUUUAGAGCACCCUUAAAUUCCAGCAUAAUUAAAAUUGCUAUUUGGAUUGAAAAAGCCCUUAGGCAACAUUUAUUGAAUAUUAGGAAAUAACUUUUAUAAGAUUGGAAUCCAUUUUUUAUAGAAACCAAAUUUAAAAGUAUACAUAUUUUAAUAUAAGUGUUGUGGUAAUACACUAACCAAAAUUGAACACACAGUUUUAACGCUUUUUAUAUUUAGUAGCAGUUGAAUAUAUAUGACAUGUUUUACAUAGAUUAAUUUUACUAUUUUUCUUUAUUUAAACAAGAGAACCAAAUUGAAAGCUGACAGAUACUGCAAAUGACUGGGAUUUUUGUUUCUGCCUUAUCUUUUUGUGUGUUUUUUUCUGAAUAAAAUAUUCAGAAGAAAUGCUUUUACAGA